rnacentral:lncRNA from 1 species
GAAGAAGAGCGUUUUUCUCCUGGCUUGGAUGUGAUGGCCUCUCUGGAGGCUUUUGGGAGGUGUUAAACGCUCCUUCUGAUGUGCUCCAGCAGGGGAGAUGGCUUUGAUUUCAGAUAACCUCAUUGUUUUCAGAUCAGACGCUCAGUGGAUCUGGACUUAAGAUGUGAUCGAUAACAAUGCCAUUAAGAUUCUGUUGGCACUCCGCAUGUUUCUCAGCAUCGACUUCAUUAAUAUGAGGACUUUUUCCUUUGAUAUAUUCUUAACAUUGGCGCUGACUGGUGGUCUUUUUCCUAUUGUUAUUCUCCACAACACACUUUUGUUAACGUGCUGAUGUGAUCUGUGAUGUUUUUGCCAGAUUUAUUUCACACCAAUCCUGAUGGAACAUCUCACAGAAUUAAAAGUCAAAUUUUCUCUAUGCAUCAGGUGUUUCUUGCAAAAGACACAAUAUUCAUCUCUGGCUUCAGCAUCUGGCUUUAUUUAUUGAGAAUCACAUUAAGUAAUAUCCAUAUCCAUAAAAUAUGCAGAAAACAAAAGAUUAAUCCAUAUAGGCAAAGCAAAUCUGCACAAAUUGGAACUUUGGGACGAUUUUGAGCAGCAAAGUGAAUCAGAGCAUCGUAUUUAUUAAAUUAUCAUGCACCGAGUUUCAUUAAUGCUGUUUGCUGUUGCUUUUUCUUAGUUUUAGUGAUUUAAAUCAUCUGUCUUGUUGUGCUGUAUCUUUACUAAGUGACCGGGUGCACCAUUUUCACCUGCUGGACUAUAAAACCCACAGAUGCACAUGGAAGGGGACUGUUUUGACCACCCUAGCAACUGUAUAACACCCUGGCAACCAUCCAUAAAAGGCUAUGUGGAUGUGCACAGAUCCCCCGUGAGGAUUUGCACGCAGUACAGGAUGAUGCAUCAAACCCCAAUUACACUGCAGUAUAAGAGGACUGAUACCAGUCCUGGAUGUUUUCAACAAACAGUUGUAUGCGUUUGCAAUUCCCACAUUUCUCAGCAGCAGAAUAACAGUUACCAAACCUCCUGUUUAUAACCUCAAAAGAUCCCGCACCAGCACACAAUAAGUCAUAAAUCCUGGAAAUGAAAUCAGCCGCACACACGUGGCUCCAUCCAGGAGACACAAACACGCGCACGCUGCUGAUACGGCAGCCCAUCUACAAUCACCCCGCAUCUGAAUAAUGACCCUGCCAAAACAGCCCUGAGAUUCAUGCGGAUCUGCGCUCGGCCCAGGACUCUAUAUUUCUUCUGUUGUCAAUAAAGGCGGAGUCCUGCUGCCCACCGACAAUAAUGACAUCAUGAGUGUCUGUGGCGAUGAUAUGGAGGUGAUGGAUACUGUGAGCUCCUCCUUCAGAGAGAUGUGAGGGUGAGCUCAGAAAUGUGACACACACACAGAUCCCGAGCCAAACUCUAUUUGGUUUCACAGUGACAUUUUGGAAUGUAAAAUACAAUAUAUUAUGCAUUUUUUAUUUACUUACUUUUUUUUUAUUUUUUAUUUUUUUAGAAAAGUGCCAUAUGCAUUCAUUACGGAUCAAACGUUUGGAAUAAUUACGAUUUUGAAAGAAGUCUCUUUUUGCUCACCAAGGCUGCAUUUAUUUGAUCAAAAAUUCAGUAAAAACACUAAAAUUGUUAAAUAUUAUUACCAUUUAAAAUAGCUGUUUUCUAUGUGAAUAUAUUGUUAAAUAUAAUUUAUUUCUGUGAUCAAAGAUGAAUUUUCAGCAUCAUUACUCCAGUCUUCUGUCACAUGAUCCUUCAGAAAUCAUUUUAAUAUGCA